rnacentral:snoRNA from 1 species
AUCCCAUGAUGAGGACAGACGGUGACAUAAUCCUACAAGCGUUCCCACGCUUCAGGAAUUGAUUCAUCCCUCGUCUGUUGGAAGAUGGAAAUUCAUCCACGAAGGGC